rnacentral:rRNA from 1 species
UCGAGAAUCUUCCGCAAUGGGCGCAAGCCUGACGGAGCGACGCCGCGUGCGGGAUGAAGGCCUUCGGGUUGUAAACCGCUGUCAGAGGGGAUGAAAUCGUUGGGGGCUAUCCCCCUUCGUUGACAGAGCCUCAGAGGAAGCGCGGGCUAAGUUCGUGCCAGCAGCCGCGGUAAUACGAACUGCGCGAACGUUACUCGGAAUCACUGGGCUUAAAGGGUGCGUAGGCGGCUACGCAAGUCGGGUGUGAAAUCUUCCGGCCCAACCGGAAAACUGCGCCCGAAACUGCAUAGCUUGAGUGCGAUAGGGGUGUGCGGAACUUCCAGUGGAGCGGUGAAAUGUGUUGAUAUUGGAAGGAACGCCGGUGGCGAAAGCGGCACACUGGGUCGCAACUGACGCUGAGGCACGAAAGCCAGGGGAGCGAACGGGAUUAGAUACCCCCGUAGUCC